GACGAACGCUGGCGGCGUGCUUAACACAUGCAAGUCGAACGAAGUGGCGAACGGGUGAGUAACGCGUAAUCAACCUGCCCUUCAGAGGGGGACAACAGUUGGAAACGACUGCUAAUACCGCAUACGGAAGGCGGGGAUUGCGUGUGAUUAGCUAGUUUGAGGGGUGACGGCCCACCAAGGCCAGGAACAGUAGCCUGUCUUAGAGGAUGAACGGCCACAUUGGGAAUGAGACCAGGCUCAGACUCCUACGGGAGGCAGCAGGUGGGAAGCUUCCGCAAUGGACGAAAGUCUGACGGAGCAACGCCGCGUGAGGGAUGACGGCCUUCGGGUUGUAAAGCUCUGUUAAGCGGGACGCGGUACCGGAAUAGAAAGCCACGGCUAACUACGUGCCAGCAGCCGCGGUAAUUC
rnacentral:rRNA from 1 species